rnacentral:misc_RNA from 1 species
UCUGGCUUAUAGCCAAGCGGUACCCUUAGAGUGCCCAACUUAAUGAUGGUAACUAAGGGCGAGGGUUGCGCUCGUUGCGGGACUUAACCCAACAUCUCACAACACGAGCUGACGACAGCCAUGCAGCACCUGUCUCCGCGUCCCCUAAGGGAACCCUCCAUCUCUGGAGGUAGCGCGGGAUGUCAAGCCCAGGUAAGGUUUUUCGCGUAGCAUCGAAUUAAACCACAUACUCCACCGCUUGUGCGGGCCCCCGUCAAUUUCUUUGAGUUUUAAUCUUGCGACCGUACUUCCCAGGCGGAUCACUUAACGCGUUAGCUGCGACACCAAAAAGAUUAGGCUUUCUGACGUCUAGUGAUCAUCGUUUAGGGCGUGGACUAC